rnacentral:misc_RNA from 1 species
UAUCCGUAGGUGAACCUGCGGAAGGACCAUUAUUGCAUAACAGGGGUGCGAGGGCUGUCGCUGACCCGACAGGUCGUGCACGCCCGAGAGUCCUCACACAUAUCCAAUUCACCCCUACGUGCUACAUCGCGUGGGCCGCCCUAUGGCUUGUUCGGAGAGGGGCGUACGUUUUCACACAAACUUUGUAUGCCGUGUAGGAUGUAUUUUUUGUUUUUGCGAUUAUGCAAUCAAAACAACUUUCAACAACUGAUCUCUUGGUUCUUGCAUGGAUGAAGAACG